ensembl:lncRNA
AGUAAACUAUUCCAAGUCUGUGAGGAACCAGAACCUCCGGGCAGACCUGCGACAUGCCAGCGGGAUUAUACAUUCCCUCUGGUCUGGGUUCGCCUCAGGAAGAGCUGGAGGUGGCGUCAUGGGGGCAGGGCGUCUGGGAGUUUGCUUAACCGGGACCCACAUGUCACAGAUGUGAAGGUUGAUUCCUGCUCCACGCUGCAUGGACGCAGGCUGAACGCAUGGGGAGGCAGCUCCUUUGAGACAAUGGCCAGACUCUGCAAAAGCAAAAAGUCAGUAAACCGGAUGGUGAACUUUGAAGCAGCCUCUGUGUGUCCUGUAGGGGGUUACAGACAUUGUCCACUGCAGCCACCAUCCCGUUCUUCCAUCUCGUCCACUGAGUCCACUGCUCUUCCUUAUCACAUUGUCCAGUUUGUUCCUGUCUGAUGUCACAUGCACAAAGUGUAAACAGCAGUGGAACCACGUCCGUUCCCUGUGGAGCCCCUCCCCGACGGACCGCUGUGUUAGACACAAAGCUCAGUCUGUUGGUCUGUUGAUAAGAAGGUCCAAAAUCCAGAGGACAAGACCUCGGUGAGCAUCUGUUUGCUUUAUUUUUUUAUUUCACCAGUGAUGCUUUUACAGUAUUGAGAGCACUGGAGAAAUCAAAGACCAUGAUCUUCACAGUGUCUCCAGCGUUGGAUCUGUGUAGGGCGUAGAUGACUGAAUGACCGCCUCAGCCUGAGUGGAGGCAGCCUAAGAUCCGUGGUCCCAACAAAUGACCUAGAUGGGCAACACGGCUUUCAGAGUCUUAAUCAGGUAGUGGUCUGUAGUCAGUAGCUCUCUGGGGUGUGCAUUCUUUGCGUAGCAGGCAGUCGCUCAGGCUCAGGUUCAAUAUGUAGUGAACAAGCCCAUACAGCUGGUCUGCACAGGCCUUGAGGUCCGGUUGCCAUCUGGACCUGCUCCCGUCACCGCUUUGAUUCUCUUCAGCUCCCCUCUCACCUGCACUGCAGAGGAGGACGGGUGGGCAGAAAAGGGCUUGAUUGAGCAGAGGGCGGUUAGGGCUACUGGGAAUACUGGAGGUGAGUGGGUGGCCUGAAGACUGGAGCCAGGGUCAAAGCCCCUAAAAAGCAUAUUCAGCUCGUUGGCCAAUUGAAUUAUUGGUGUCUGAACUCUGAGCGGAAGCUGGAGCCGCAGGGUUGAACCCAUGCAAGCGAGGUGGCAAAGUCUGAUCUGCACACAGGAGAAGCCAGCUGGUAGAUUUGGACCCAGGAGCUUUCUACGGUGAAGCAGGUGUUCUGACUACUGACCACUGGGCUGGACAUCGAUGCCUUUAGUUAACCACAUGUCCACAGGGCAUUAGAAGAAGAUGCAAUCCAUUAUUAAUCAUCACUAAUUAGUUUUUACUUGCAAAUGCUUGAUAAUGAAAUAUUUUUUUAUUAGUAAACACAACCCCAGGGUGUAUGUUUAGGAAUACAUUAUAACAGUGACAGAAUCAUCCUUUCCUGUAAAUAAUCUCUUUCGCUCUUCCUCCCACUAUUCCUCAGAUGAAAGGCUGCUGCUAGGCUCCAGCUGGACCAGUCUUGACCUCUUUGGCGGGUUCAGAGUCAGCUGCAGCUUCAUUUUUUUUGAAGAGGGAGAUGAAGUGCAGCUCCAUCACUUCAACAGGUCAGUAUCAACUAAAGUGUUCCAGGUGACUGAACAAAGGUGUUUAGAAGAAGCAGUGCCAGACCCUCUCUUUGUUGGAUGAUUGGUGGUUGGUAACUUUACUGCUGCUGAAGGUCCGGUUGAAUAUUCAUACUGUAGCAUGUGCUUGGUCCCUGUGUGCAAAGCCAAACGGUUUGGUCUCUGUGUCAUCUUCAUAAUUGAACGUUGGCAGGAAUGAGAAAACAUUGCUGGAUUCCCUGAAUGAAGCAUUAACAUUUCCAGCCUCUCUCUCAAGCUCUUUGGCGCUGCUACUGUACAGUGUCAAAACACACUAUUUACUGUGCAAUGGUUCUUUUUGUGCUCAUUCAGUGUCAAGGAAAUCGUCAUCAAAAGGAGUCCAUCGUCAUCUGUGAAACGAUAUCGCCACAGAUGCUGGUUUCCUUAUUACCUGACAGGUGAAUCAGGGCUACAUCAUAUCUACAGUAUGAUGUUCUAUAAUAUCCUGCCGUUAUGAGGUAAAAAUCUUUGUCUUUUUAGGUUUUUUUUUUUUCUUAAACCUAUUAAUUUGAAAAUGUGUUAAUAGGACAUUGAUAGGACUAUUUUAGUGAUGGACAUGUAGGUUCAACACUCAUUCUGAAUCACGUUUAGCUGAGUAGAUGUGUAAACAUCAGCAGAAGAGACAGAUACAGUAGCGAGGUCCGUCUGCAGGCUUCAGUCUCUGCAGUUAACUUUAAUGCCAAGUGCAGUACUUUCAUUCCAAACCGUCCCCAGAGUCAUGUUGGCUACAGAACGUAGUGAAGAAAUAAAUGUACGUCCUGCAUAUAAUAACUUGUUACU